rnacentral:rRNA from 1 species
GACGAACCGUGCGAGCGUUAUUCGGAAUCACUGGGCUUAAAGGGUGCGUAGGCGGGUUGCCAAGUCUGGGGUGAAAUCCUCCGGCUUAACCGGAGAACUGCCGUGGAUACUGGCGGCCUCGAGGGGUGUAGGGGCUUGCGGAACUGUGCGUGGAGCGGUGAAAUGCGUUGAUAUGCACAGGAACUCCGGUGGCGAAAGCGGCGAGCUGGACACCUUCUGACGCUGAGGCACGAAAGCCAGGGGAGCGAACAGG